UGGGUCGUUUUAUCUUUCUUU
rnacentral:piRNA from 1 species